rnacentral:misc_RNA from 1 species
AACGGUCUAUACCUGCGGUACCUGCGGAAGGAUCAUUAAUGUGAUGGAUGUGCUAGUCUUGACCUCUUAAUCCUCCUUCAAUUUAUUGCUAGGUGGGGGCCUGACGGCUCAAGGGGAAAGGAAAUAAGAACCCGUUCGGGUGUGCACUCCGAUACAAUCCAAUUUUCUCUUAUACCUUGUGCAUCUUUGCCUGCUGAGCAUGAAAAGAAUGUUGAAAUAACAUUCUUGAUUGAUCACGUA